AAUGAGGUGAAAAGUUAACCUAGUUUCUUUAAGUAUCCAAAUAACAUUAAUGAAGGGUUAAAAGUUAUAAGGGUAAUAAUUAUCUCUUGUUAAUCUCGUAUCAAACAUCGCCUAAGAGUAUUUCCCUAUUGUAUUGCUAUAGUACCCCAUGCCUUUGCUGCAUUAAUCCUCUAGCAAACUUGCUUUCUAUUUCCCAAAGGAUUUUCCUUUACUUCCCUUAGUAAACAUAGGUUGAUGGAACAACAAAAUAAUGCAAGCACAAAAUCAUCAAAAGAAAAUAUAUGCCAUAGCACAUAGGAACCUGUUUCUGUAUACUUGAAAUUUCUGGACCUCCUGGCAGCUGCCAAAUUUUGCACCAAAAUAAAGUUUUAUUGGAUGUUGAAAUGACACAUUGCGAGUACGCAGAAAUUUCUCCUGUGGGUACCACAAAGAGCACCUGAAUUCUUUAUCUCCGCAUCUUCUAUGGAAAGAUUCAACAAAAUUUCUAGCAUCAUCUGAAAAGAACAAAUUAAAAAACUCCUCUACCUCUAUCUGCAGUCCAUGAAAAGAAAAGGUAACAUCAGCAACCAACAAAACCAGCAUGCCAAUUGUUAUUGAAUUUUAUAUCAGUAAAACAAACAGAAGCACAUUUAGAAAUAAAAAUUAUAGCAUAUGAAUGCAACAAUACCGGAAAUUUUGUUUCCCCUACUCUCAUAUAAGUUUUUGGAACUGCAUAUCACAAACAACCAGUUCAGAUUAUCAGGGAACAAACUAUCAUGAAGAAGAAUGUGACAUACAUAAAACCAAAUUCACAAAAAAACAUCAUCUAAAACUCUCAACAUCAAUCAAUGCCCAAAUUAGCAAUAUUUUUGUUUUAAAUGGGAACCUAGCUUCCCAACCAGAAACGGCUCUAUAGCAGGAUACUCAUCUCACCAUUUCUAUAAGCCACUACAAUCUUCCUUCACAGUGUAUCAUCUUCAUUUUAAAACCCCCACCACAAGCCAACAAAUCUAAUAGGCCUGAGAUCAACUUGACAAACAACUUAAUGUUGAAAUUUCCAAUUUUUUUCAAGUACUAACUAAAGAAACUACAGAGUUAACUACACAAUUAAAAAGAACUAUAUUCCUGACAACUAUAAUGAUUACUAAAAGAACAUAGCCACUAAAUUAAAAAAUGAUCCAGCAUGUUGCAUAGAAAACAACAAAAUCCUCAACUAAAAGUUAUAGGAAAGAGUUGACUAACUCUCAGGUGCAUCAGUUUCCUCCUCAUUCCAUGUCCGAGUUUGCAUUGAAGAUGAAGAGUUGAUAUGUUCAACUGGUUCAACAUCCUGUUCUGCAUUAUCUUGUAUCUCUGUACGUGUUACUAAAACUCUGUCAUUCUCAACUUGGGAAGGGGAUGGAAGCUUAUAGUCAUUUGAAGUAGAAGCAUCCUUAUCCCUGUUACUGGAAUCCAAUUCGUUGACUUCUUUAAAGCUAUUCAACUUUUCAAUUACAAGAAGCCCAUUAUCUUGGCUGUUAGACCCAGAUACUGACUCCUGAUGUUCUGUUACUGAUUUAGAAUCAUUCCAAUGCUGCAACCAUCCAUCAUUGAUGAGGUUGAAAGCUUCAUCACGGGAUAGGAAUGAAGCAAAGAAGUACUUUCUCCCUCCAGCAAAAAUUUCUAUCGCAUUAGGGAAUAUUCCAGCUAUCUUUGCUCUUUUCACAUUCGUAAUUUCAAUGAAGGGAAUUAUUUUCUGGAGCACAAACUCAUAGAUAGUUGCAGUAAUGAUAAGGUGAGAGGGUAAAAACUAUAAAUGCACAUAGACCAGUCAAAGGUAACUAUAAAUAUAACUAAGGUUCAAGCUGACCUUUGUCUCAAAUCCAAAUAUGUUGGAGUAAAAACAAAUAUAACGUGUAAAAAGGUACAUAUGCCCCUGUAGCAUAUACACAACAAGUUAAUGCAUAAAUAUUAGGAAACACAUUUACCUUCUUCCCAUAAAAUAUAAAUAGGAUCCAUAGGAGCAAAUAUUGUUGCACAAACUUAGUAUGUCAUCAUUUACAAAAGAAAGUCCUUAGUCAAUAGUUGAGAUGCAGUAAAAAAUAAAGUAAAUAGUCAGAAAAUAGCACAACCCCAAAUACACAAUACAUAUUAUGAUCAAAAUUACCUGAAGAAGAAUACUUUCCUGGAAUGCACAAUUAAAGUCCCGUACAAGAGCUUCCUCAGAUGGAAGACGGAAAAGUUGUCGAUACUCUUCACUCAAUAAUGCUGAGGGCUGAUUUUCGACGUCGCGGUUAGCAUUUUGAGAAGAAUUGGAGUGGUCGCUGCGAUCAGGCGUUUCCGAAGCUGGGGAAGACGAUUCGGACCCCGAGUCAGAAGCUGAUUUUGAGGCAGAGGGCUCCAUGUGCAAGGGAUCGAUCCCCACUGCGCUUUCUGAGGCCACUGCCAUAGCACAGUUGGGGAGCUUGGAAAAAGGAAAUGAAAUUUGGAUCGAAGAGAUAGUUAGAGGCAAUUGAGCUUUUUGCCAAUGGACAAUGGACACACGGUGGAACGGUCGGUUUUUUCAGUCAAAUUCCUCUGCACAGCAAAAUCCUACUGUGGGACGUUGAUCUGUUAACACGUGGCUCAAG
rnacentral:misc_RNA from 1 species